rnacentral:rRNA from 1 species
CCUACGGGAGGCUGCAGUGAGGAAUAUUGGUCAAUGGACGCAAGUCUGAACCAGCCAUGUCGCGUGCGGGAUGACGGCUCUAUGAGUUGUACACCGCUUUUGUACGAGGGUAAACGCAUAUACGUGUGUCUGUCUGAAGGUAUCGUACGAAUAAGGGUCUGCUAACUCCGUGCCAGCAGCCGCGGUAAUACGGAGGACUCAAGCGUUAUCCGGAUUUAUUGGGUUUAAAGGGUGCGCAGGCGGAAGAUCAAGUCAGCGGUAAAAUUGGGGGGCUCAACCUCUUCUAGCCGUUGAAACUGGUUUUCUUGAGUGAGUGAGAAGUAUGCGGAAUGCGUGGUGUAGCGGUGAAAUGCAUAGAUAUCACGCAGAACUCCGAUUGCGAAGGCAGCAUACCGGCGCUCAACUGACGCUGAUGCACGAAAGCGUGGGUAUCGAACAGGAUUAGAUACCCUUGUAGUC